GGGUUAAGUCAGCAUCAGAGGUCUUAGGAGAGCUAGGGGUUAGGUGACGCGAAGUGGCGGCGGCGGUGGUAGCAGGCCAGGUGUCGGCCUCGGCGGCGGUGCGGUAGGAGGCCAGGCGGCGGCGGCGGCGGUGCGGUAGGAGACCAGGUGGCGGCGGCGGCGGUGUGGUAGGAGGCCAGGUGGCGGUGGCGGUGUGGUAGGCGUCCAGGUGGCGGCACCGUCGUCGAUGUGGUAGGAGGGUAGAUGGCAGCGCCGACGGAGGGGAGGAACGCCUUCCAGCAGGAAGGCGGAUGUAGAAGGAGUGGUGGACGCAUCACGGCCAGAGACGGAGCGAUGGGCGGCCUCGUGGUCGUAGACGGGGGGUGGUUCGAGGGCAUGCACAGCGGGGUAAGUCUAAAUGUGCAGAAGUGGAGGCCGACGGACAUGAGGAGAUGAGCGACGGAGUGUUCAGGGGUAAGAGGUAUAGAGACUUUGUAGUCACCUGUCGAUCCCCUCAACCGACCGGUGGGAAAAGCUGCGGCAUUAAAGGGUCGAACUUGUUCAUAUAACCACCCUUCUCUCAACCUGCCACUUGACGACAUACUUCGUAGUCCACCGUAAGGAGUACCAGCACACAGUUAUCCGCUACCCCAACAAUUCUUUCUUCUAUAAUUUAGUCGUCGAUCCUUUUCCUUACGGUCACGUGGUUAAAGCGAGUGUGAAGCUCUCUUCCUUGUUGAGUCCGCACGAUUACUGCUUUUACGUCUUGAGUCCGCACGAUUCCUCUACGAUGUCGUCUUUCAUCUAUACGUACCCGUCGAGUAUUGACGUGAAAAGUUCCUCUAUCCUUUUCUCAACGGUCGCGUAUAUGAUGUAUAUGAUUCGGUACCUCGACAAAGCGUUGGUCUUCCCUGUUUAUUGAGCAGAGUUAGGCCGAGCGAUCGCCAACUACCGUUGUUACUACAGUACCUCAGCUCGCUCCUCUUGCUGUGGUGACCCUUACAGCCACUAGUCUAGCAACUGCGUCGUCGGUUGGUACCGCCUUUGACUAACGAGUUUGUUAUACUAUUGUAGUCUGAUAUCCACCAGAAGUAUGCGAGAAAACACCUGAACACAUAGGUCAUACCAAAUCCUUACUCUUGAUUGUAGACCACCAUCAACGUUCGGCCGCAUAAAACGAUCAUAACAACAUCAACCUUCCAGGAAAACACCUACCAUGGUAACAUCGGAACAUCACAUGAAACAACUAGAUAUACAUACCUUGACUACUACUAUAUACUUCAGACUACAACAGUAUAUUUAGAUAAGAGUGUACCAGAGACACUUUAUUACAUUGUCG
rnacentral:rRNA from 1 species